rnacentral:rRNA from 1 species
AAGACUAAGAGACUAAAUCAUUUUUUUUGGCUAUAGGAAGAUAAUUAGUAUUUAUAAGCAUUUUAAUUAUAUAUACAAAGGUGAAAUUUGAAUUUAUAACAAUAAUUUGUUAAAUGUUUAUAUAUUGAGUCUUCGACAUCCUAGAGGGAAACUGGGAUUAGAUACCCCAUUAUUCUUGGACAUAAAUUAAUUAUUUGCCAGGGGACUACGAGUAAUAAAAGCCUCAAAACCCAAAGAACUUGGCGGUGCCUUAGACCACUUAGGGGAACUUGUCUCAUAAUCGAUAGUCCACGUUGAAAUAUUACCUUUACUUGUAAUCAGUUUGUAUACCGUCGUCGAAAGGUAACAUAAAAAGGACUAAGAGUUAGCUAUAUAAUUUUAAGUUAUAACGUCAGAUCAAGGUGCAACCAAUGUAAAGGAGAGGAUGAGUUACAAUUAUAUUAAUUUAUAGACGGAAAGUUACUGGCAUCAGUUAUUUAAAGUAGGACUUAAAAGUAAAAUAAUUUAUAUAAAUUAUUUGAAUUGAGCUCUGAGGCGUGC